CGCUCCUUGAACUUACAACAUAAGGAGUCCUGCCUGCCCAGUGACUAGAGGUUAAACGGCCGCGGUAUCUUGACCGUGCGAAGGUAGCAUAAUCACUUGUCUCCUAAAUAGAGACUAGUAUGAAUGGCAAGACGGAACAAGACUGUCUCUUUCUCAAGACCCCGAAUUUCACUUCCCCGUGAAGAGGCGAGGAUAAAAUCGCUAGACGAGAAGACCCUGUCGAGCUUAAGCAAAACCCAAGUUCAUAAUUUAUUUAACCUAGUCUAAUUUAUAACCAUAUCUAGUGUCAAAUUCUUAUUUUUCUUGGGGGAGCUUUGGUUGGGGCAACCGCGGAGUAAAAUAACCCUCCGCUCAUAAGAUAUGAUAAAAAGAGAAACAACUCUAAAACCAAAAUGAAACUAGUGAUCCACUAAGGUGAUCAAAGGAACAAGUUACCGCAGGGAUAACAGCGUCAUCUUUUCUGAGAGUUCACAUUGACGAAAAGGUUUGCGACCUCGAUGUUGGAUCGGGACAUCCUAAGGGUGCAGAAGCUUUUAAGGGUUGGUCUGUUCGACCAUUAAAGUCCUACG
rnacentral:rRNA from 1 species